AUAUGGCUGUGACAGCAAAACACCUUGUUUAAAUAUCUGACGUGCUGGGACUCUGCCUGUUGCCUCACAAACAGGCUUGGCACACCCUGUCUCCUCGUCCCCUGUCACCAUCCAUGGGUGGUUCCUGUCACACCUCCAGCUGAGGUGGGGCUGGGCAGGGGCUGCUCCCUGGCUGUGUCCCUCUCCCCUCUCCCUCCAUACAGGUGCCAUGGGACAUUGGCCUCAUCCAUCACCACCACAGACUGGUAGGGUCAAUUUUGCACCAGCCGCUUCACUACUCUCCCUUAGGCUUUCCUAGUGUAAAUCAGAAGGACACAGAGUAUCCUUCCUUUGAUUCAAAGCACAGAGGGGAUUUUUUUGGGGUGGGACACACCAGGCAGAGCACUGUUUUUUCCAUCAAACCACCCUAGACAUUAAAUGCUUCCCACCAGCACUAAGCAGCCCCCUGCCAUUGCCCCCCUGGGGGACAUCUUCAUGUGCCUUCACCAAGAGAGGCUCCCCAUGCUGUCCUUCCCCUCCAAAUCCCCUUUCCCACCACAGCUAAGGCAGCAAACAUCUGGCUCACCAUCACGGGGAUGUGUAUUAUGGAUAGACCCACUUUGGGCCACCUUUUCCCUUAGGCUGUGGUCCCUAGGCCAGCUAGAAACCAUUCCAGCCUGCUCUGAUGCCUUCCCUGGGGAACUCGUUCUGAGAUUAGAGGCUGAGCGUGGGAUGUUUCCUUGUGGCUACUUCAUGUUUUACUACAGAGCAAUAAAUAUAAGAUUUGACAUUUCCAGCACUUGGCCAGGGCAAACUGGUGCAAAACCAGUGAAGAUUCCCUCCUGGUACAAAGCAAAGUUUCCAGCCUUGCUAAGUGAGCUUUUAUUCACACAUCCCUCUUAUUCACACCGUGUGUGCCGGUACCUCCGAGGGAGGCUCCUGCUCAGGGAUGGGCGCUGACGCACACCAGCACCCUGCCAACAGGAACUGGAAGUCCCAAGCCAGGCAGGAACGGGCAAGAAGGGCCUGUGUGGGGGCUGUGCUGAGCUAUGCAGCAGCUUAUCCCCCACGGAGCAGCCUUCCUGCACCACUGUCAGCUGGGAUGAUCUAUUUCCUCCUAUCGAUCAGCAGUUAUAGAAAAUAAAUACAUGCAGAUAUUGCCAUAGCUCUGUAUAGUCCUCAGUCCCUACAGCUGUGGGGAACAGGCUCUGAUUUGAGGGGAGGGGGGGCUGCACUGCUGCUCUGUAGGGUUGGGGCAAUGUUUUUCAGGGUGCACCUCCACAUGCUCACACCAGGAUCCUCCUGGGAUGCUGGGGAGAGUAAAGCUCUUUAGAAACAAGUAAACCCCUUGACCUUACUACUAGAGCUGGAAAUAACUUUCUAAUCACUUUUCCUUGAUCCAAAAAAA